UGAAGUGACUCUAGCUGCCUGAGACAGAGACCCAGAGGAGGCUACACUUCACUCUGCGCUGACACAGCUGACCUGAACAGGUUAAAAAUCUGAGCAAAUAUCAACAUCAUGUCACAAGCGGUUGACAGGAACAAGGUGUUCAAAACCACCAGGGUGCGGAAUUCACUGAAGAAUGAUAAGUGUUGGAUCCAGAGGGCAAAACAGGAAAAGAAAGAGGAAGAACUAGCAAGUACCGACCAGGCUGUGGAGAGCAGACCCUCUCCGGCCAGACUGAGCUCAUACGUCCUGUCCAAAGUCAAGAUAUUUGAGUGAGUA